CAGCUUAUUGAUUUGCAAGGUGCUUUGAUAAAGAGGUGUCUGGGUCUAAAAACUCUUAAUCAAAGAAGAAAAUGCUUAACCAAAAGAAAAUCAAGGGUAUGUAAUCAUUUUGUGUUGGUGCCUAAUCAGUCUUGAUAUGAAAUAAAAGGGUACAGAAUUGGAAAUUGGUUGCUUCUCAUGAGACUGAAUAGUUAUUCUUGAAGGUUGAUGCUACUAUCUUCUAAAAGGCUGAAGUGUAUCAGCACUAGAGCUUUUGUUUGCAUUUUCUUGGACAAGGGACUCCAAUAGGUGCUACUGGGCACCGUGCACCACUACUUUGCUGAGUUGCCUCUCUCUGACAUCGACACUCGCACUUAUACAUCUUUGGGCAGGUUAUGGCAGCAUCCAAUCCUCACGUUAUGUGCAUGAGACAAAACUUACCACAUUUAAUUUGCUAUGCUAAUAAAGAAUCUGCCAUCCUUUUGCUAGAUAAUUUCUACGUAUAG